GAUGAACGCUAGCUACAGGCUUAACACAUGCAAGUCGAGGGGAAACGACAUCGAAAGCUUGCUUUUGAUGGGCGUCGACCGGCGCACGGGUGAGUAACGCGUAUCCAACCUGCCCAUCACUUGGGGAUAACCUUGCGAAAGUAAGACUAAUACCCAAUGACGUCUCUAGAAGACAUCUGAAAGGGAUUAAAGAUUUAUCGGUGAUGGAUGGGGAUGCGUCUGAUUAGCUUGUUGGCGGGGUAACGGCCCACCAAGGCAACGAUCAGUAGGGGUUCUGAGAGGAAGGUCCCCCCANAUUGGAACUGAGACACGGUCCAAACUCCUACGGGAGGCAGCAGUGAGGAAUAUUGGUCAAUGGGCGAAGCCUGAACCAGCCAAGUAGCGUGAGGGAAGACUGCCCUACGGGUUGUAAACUGCUUUUAUAAGGGAUAAAGUGUGCCAUGUAUGGCAUUUUGCAGGUACCGCAUGAAUAGGACCGGCUAAUUCCGUG
rnacentral:rRNA from 1 species